rnacentral:rRNA from 1 species
UACGAAGGGGGCUAGCGUUGCUCGGAAUCACUGGGCGUAAAGCGCACGUAGGCGGACUCUUAAGUCGGUGGUGAAAUCCUGGAGCUCAACUCCAGAACUGCCUUCGAUACUGGGAGUCUCGAGUCCGGGAGAGGUGAGUGGAACUGCGAGUGUAGAGGUGAAAUUCGUAGAUAUCCGGAAGAACACCAGUGGCGAAGGCGGCUCACUGGCCCGAUACUGACGCUGAGGAGCGAAAGCGUGGGGAGCGAACAGG